ACUACUUUGGCAGAUAAGUGCAAUGGAUUUAGAAUCCUUAAAUGGAGAUUAGCCUUCAGGUAGUA
rnacentral:tRNA from 1 species